rnacentral:rRNA from 1 species
AACGAUGAUGCCCAGCUUGCUGGGCGGAUUAGUGGCGAACGGGUGAGUAAUACGUGAGUAACCUGCCCUUGACUCUGGGAUAAGCCUGGGAAACUGGGUCUAAUACUGGAUACUACCUCUUACCGCAUGGUGGGUGGUGGAAAGGGUUUUACUGGUUUUGGAUGGGCUCACGGCCUAUCAGCUUGUUGGUGGGGUAAUGGCUCACCAAGGCGACGACGGGUAGCCGGCCUGAGAGGGUGACCGGCCACACUGGGACUGAGACACGGCCCAGACUCCUACGGGAGGCAGCAGUGGGGAAUAUUGCACAAUGGGCGGAAGCCUGAUGCAGCGACGCCGCGUGAGGGAUGACGGCCUUCGGGUUGUAAACCUCUUUCAGUAGGGAAGAAGCGAGAGUGACGGUACCUGCAGAAGAAGCGCCGGCUAACUACGUGCCAGCAGCCGCGGUAAUACGUAGGGCGCAAGCGUUGUCCGGAAUUAUUGGGCGUAAAGAGCUCGUAGGCGGUUUGUCGCGUCUGCUGUGAAAGCCCGGGGCUCAACCCCGGGUCUGCAGUGGGUACGGGCAGACUAGAGUGCAGUAGGGGAGACUGGAAUUCCUGGUGUAGCGGUGAAAUGCGCAGAUAUCAGGAGGAACACCGAUGGCGAAGGCAGGUCUCUGGGCUGUUACUGACGCUGAGGAGCGAAAGCAUGGGGAGCGAACAGGAUUAGAUACCCUGGUAGUCCAUGCCGUAAACGUUGGGCACUAGGUGUGGGGGGACAUUCCACGUUUUCCGCGCCGUAGCUAACGCAUUAAGUGCCCCGCCUGGGGAGUACGGCCGCAAGGCUAAAACUCAAAGGAAUUGAC